AGCGCCGCUAAAGAUCAUGAUCUUUAGCGGCGUUUGUGGGAAAAGCGCCGCUAAAGAUCAUGGUCUUUAGCGGCGGUU
rfam:Gossypium raimondii Chr13_contig_850, whole genome shotgun sequence.